rnacentral:rRNA from 1 species
UACGGAGGGUGCAAGCAUUAAUCGGAUUUAUUGGGCGUAAAGGGCGCGUAGGCGGGUCACCAAGUUAAGUGUGAAAUUCCGAAGCUCAACUUCGGAGCUGCACUUAAGACUGGUGGUCUUGAGGAUUGGCGGAGAAAAUGGAAUUCCACGUGUAGCGGUGAAAUGCGUAGAUAUGUGGAAGAACACCGGUGGCGAAAGCGAUUUUCUAGCUUAUUCCUGACGCUGAGGCGCGAGAGCAAGGGGAGCAAACAGG